GCCAUCCGACCUGGGCCGGCGGGCUUAUGGGACCGCAAUUCCCGGCAGGGAGCACGCCCUCCGGCGCCGGUGGCCGGGCGGGGAAGGAUUCAGGGGGCUGCGGAGACGUCCGGACAGAGCCAGCGGGUUUUGGGGACUGUGCACUCCCCGCGCUCGGGCGCUCUCCUUGACUCCCUUUCUCUCGCCAAACAGCGGCGGCGCCAAGGGGUCAGUAUGGGGGGACAUUCUUCGUUAGUCACCGUCGAGGCUUGGGGUAAUAUAAGUAAAACCAGGGUGCAGAAGCAAAACAAGUACCCUAGCCCUGGCUUUCGACUCGUCAGCUGCCGCUCAUCACCUCCUGCAUCGCAAUACCGUCCCCCCACUCUGACCCCGGCCCCUGGCCCCAGUGGCGCGAGCCACGUUAGUCCCCACGGAGGCUGGAGGUCUGCGGUGUGACCCGACAAUUGGCAAAUCUAACAAGCUGCCAGGAGAUGCAGAUGCUACUGGUCUGGGAACACACCGCAGAAUCACUGCCCAGCUUCACCAGGGCCCGACAUCCAGCGGGGGCCGGUAUGUGUCAUCCGAACAUACCAAAAAACCAGCCUGUCAACUUGGACACGGAACCUUGAAUAGGAGGCCACGUGGCAGGGCAGAUGUCCAUCAACUGCCUUGGGCUGAUCACAUAUUCGCAAUAAACAACGGGCACCGGCGGGGCCUAUGGAAGUUUUAAAGGGAAGACUUGAUCACAUUUCGCCUUGUUUACUGUCUGCCUUGUAAACAACACACCUGGACUCUCACCCUGAAACUGGAAGCGGAGUUCCUAAAGUUCAAGUUUAAAAAGUCUGAAAUCCAAUCAACAUUCUUUGGCUUUUUAUAAUUUGGUUAUAUAUGUUAGAGGGUUGACAUCCAGCUGAUGUCCACAACUGCAUGCAUACUUGUUAAAUUAUUAAACUACUUUCAUGCCGGUUGGCAAAUAGGUACUGCCCGGCCUUCUCAGCACCUGCUUCUAAUUUGGACCUCUUAGACCACUGCCUGAACAAGCAGCUGAAAGGCAGAUGCCCGGCAGCAGGGCCUUCCUGGAUCUGGUCACGAUCCACUUUUAAAAUUAGGCGUUUGAGCUCACAGUGUUCAUUUUCCCAGCACUGUGUUCAUUGCUGCCCAAUUUUUGUCAGUGGUUUGACGGAAACGCGGUGGAGGGUGAUGUUCUAGAUUUUCCAGAGUCCAACCCUGGAUCAAAUCAGGUCAGCAGAGGAACUGAGAAUGUGUAUUUCAUUUCAGUUUGUUCCUGCCACCUGCCACCCUCUCGAGAACUGGUCUUGCUGAGUUGUGUGUGGGGGUGAUGUCAUCAGCCUGUGCUGAGAGCCAGGGGAGGAAAUGGCAGAAAUGACACUCACUGUCAUCUGUCUUACAGAAUGUUGUCAACCUGUGUUGCUUUGUAUCACAGUGUCUAUUUAGAAGAAUCCUCAGAGACUUGCCUAACUGGUCUUAGAAGCAAAAACAGUUAUAUUACUCCUGGAAAGCUGUUCUUUUUCAUCUGAGAAACCUGUCUGUCAGUGUCCAGUUUUCUCUUCUCCCUGUCUUUGUAAGUGUACUUACAAUCAUUCUGGAAUGAAGCAAAGAAACAAAGGAAGGAAGGAAGGGAGCAAAUACUUCAAGUUAUGAAAAAUCGAAGCAGAUAGAUGAUCAAAGGAACCCAAAUACACAGGCAUUUUGUGUUUUUUUCCUCAGCGGAAUUUCAACAUUAACUUAUCACAGAUUUAUACCGAGUAAUAAUUAUGUACUUUGCUUUUCAAAGCUCUGAAGUACAAAUAGUAAGUACCUGAAGAGGAUAUUCUCUUUAAGUGCCAAGUCUACAGACUUCUAAGCCCCUUUUUUUUUUUUUUUUAA